UACAGAGGUCUCGAGCGUUAGUCGGAGUCACUGGGCUUAAAGCGUACGUAGGCGGAUAUGCAGGCGUCGUGUGAAAUCCCUUGGCUCAACCAAGGAACUGCACGGCGAACCGCAUGUCUUGAGAUCGGUAGGGGCGGUCGGAACGAUAGGUGGAGUGGUGAAAUGCGUUGAGAUCGGAAGGAACGCCCGUGGCGAAAGCGAGGUCCUGGACGUCUACUGACGCUGAGACGCGAAAGCUAGGGGAGCAAACGGG
rnacentral:rRNA from 1 species